GACAGCCUGACUGGCAUGCAGAAAUUUGCAACCCCCACCGCUCCGGCCGUCUUCCCAUUGUCCCCCUGUUGUCAAGAUACUGCUGACGUCACCUUGGCUUGUUUGAUCACGGGCUACUUCCCUGAACCAGUCCAAGUGCAGUGGAACUCAGGCGCCAUCACUUCUGGCUUCAAGACCUUCCCCUCUAUACAGCAGUCCAGCGGCCAUCACACCCUCAGCAGCCAGCUCACCAUCUCGGACACCCGCUGGAAAUCUGAUAAGUUCCAGUGUAAUGUUGUACACACGGCUACCAGCUCCAGAAUCGAUAAAGACUUUGAACCCUGCCAAAGCAAGGAUCCUGUGGCGCCAGUGGUCCGCAUGCUCCAGUCCUCCUGUACCACGCAUCCUGGUAACAUGGAACUGCUGUGCAUGAUCUCAAACUUCUACCCUAAAGAAUUUACGGUCAGUUGGCUGCGAGAUGGCGAAGUCCUCCCGGACAUGUCCGCUGAGUCGCUCUGGAAAGAUGCAAACAGCUACACCUUCAGCGCCACCAGUUCAACUAAUGUUACCCAACAAGACUGGUUGAAUUCAGAGACCUACAGCUGCCAGGUGUCCCAUGCACAGACCAACAGCGUCAUGAAAGCUCAAGUAAAGAAAUGCGGAGGUGAUUAUGACAGCACACAGAUUAAAGUCUAUAUUGAAAGCCCAAAUCCCUACGACUUGCAUGUGGAAAAGCGACCCAAACUCACCUGCAAAGUGUUCAGCAUGAACAGUGAUGAGACACUGGCAGUGACCUGGUCACGGGAGAAAUCAGGAGGCUUGAAUCCUGAGCCACUUGAUAUCAGUGAACAAUCCAAUGGCACCUUCACCGCAAUCAGCAUUGUGCAAAUUUCUGAAAGCGAUUGGUUGGCGGAGGAGAAAUUUUCCUGCAGAGUGCAACAUCAAGAAUUGCCUGGUGGUUCCAUCACUGUGGAUGGUUUCUGGAAGAAAGUCCCUGUCAUCGCCCCCGCUGUGUACCUCUUCCACCCACACUCUGACGAGCUCAACUCGGACAGCCAAGACUUGUCCAUCACUGCCCUGAUCAAAGGGUUCAAGCCCAGCGACAUCUUCGUGAAAUGGCUUGAGGGUAGUAACCCCUUGCCCGAAGACAACUAUAUCAACACCCCAGUCACCAGCGAUGGCGGCGGUACCUUCUUCCUCUACAGCAAGUUGAAGGUCACCAAGGCUGACUGGAACAAUGGCAAUUCCUACACCUGCAUGGUUGUCCAUGAAGGCCUCGCCAUUAAGUUCAUCCAGAAGUCCAUUCGGAAAAAUCCUGGUAAAUAAUGAAGACAACUCACAAUCCAGCCUUGUUUCCCCUUUGACAGAAGUUGUCAAACUUCUAGUGUUGUCAAACCCAAGCCAUGUAAAUACUUUGUGAGCAUUUGCGUGUGGUCAGUGGCUGAAUAAAAGGAAACCCAUAUGAGGCCUCCAACACAUAAA